CCCACCACCACCACCACCACCAACACCACCACCAUUGAUUUCCCUUCUACUUAAUCUACUAGAGAGAAUAUUUAGAUUUAUCCAAUCAAGACGACAACCUUCUUCCUUACCCAACAACACAAUACCACACACUAUCCAGAACUCCAUUACCAGAAUCAGAUGUUACAACCCACCAUUUCACCAAUACAGACACUAUAACCAUUAUCAUCAUCGUCAACCUACAUUAUGGAAUUACAGUACCACUACUCAUAAUCUUCAACUUCCUUGCUUCGACAUCGAAAUGCAAACUAGUAAUAAUCAACACCAAUCCAGAAGAGAAUCAUUAUCAUCAUCAUCAUCAUCAUCAUCAUCAUCAAGUAUUAGCCAACAAGGUAAGACUUAUAUAAGUCUGACAUACCAGGUGGCCGCCGCGCUCGCUCUGUCAUCUUCUCUCGGACGGGAAAGCUUCUUCGCCAGCAUUGCAAAGGUUAACGUUGUCCUAGCUUUUGCAGCAUCGUUCAGUGGUAUGUCAUUGAGAAAUGGGUAUCCAAGAAUCUCGGCUGUUCUUGAGAAUAUCGGCUCGCUUUUUGCGGCGGUUGGGUUUUUUGCCACGACCGGUAUGUUUCUUCCGGAAAACUUAAUGUGGGUUGGAUGGCUAGCUUGUGCUUUGUCACUCCUAGCCUUCUCCUUAUCCUUCAUUAACUGAUCAAAGUUAACAAGGAAACACUACUUCGAUAUCUUGGCUCCUCGGCCUCGGAUAUCAGGUAUUUCAGAGCACAAAUGAUAGGCUGAGGUAUCCCCGUGAACAUGGGUUUAAUAUGUAAUUUGAUCAAAAAGAAUUAGUGACAAGGAUCUCGUCGCAAAAACCAUCAAGACAUGGGACCGUAGCAAAUUCGCAACGGAUCAAUUGAAUUGACGGAUGAAUUAGCGACGGGGGCAAAUUGGCUACGAUAUAAGUAGCGACGGAUGAAUUCCGUCGUUCAAUUUUCUGCUUUACUUAGUUGAAUUUGAAGUUAGAUUUAGAUUGAUGUUUAUGUACGUGAAGAAGAUAAUCUAGAGUAUGAAGCAGGCUAAGCCUGCGUGAUGAUAACUCCGCCUGUGACGCGCGGUUCAUGUCCUAUAUAAAAAAUCUUUUCCCACAGCCGGUCCCAAGCCCGGAGAAAGGAGGAGGGUCAUGUUUAGGCAGCGAACCAACUUUAUCAACGCCUUACAUUUUGACAACGAAUUAAAUCACUACGUUUUGUUGAUAAGGUUGCCAAAGCAGAAUCUCAUGGAGUACAAAUUUUCAAUGCUUAAUUUCUAAUGAAAGAUAUAAGCUGAAUGGUCGUCAAAGCAGAGCAGUGAUUUAGGCUGUUCGUGAAAUAAAACUCCAUUUACUUUAGCUGCACAUAUUGUGUAUAUAUAAUUUAUAUAUAUACACCCUUUUGUUUUUCAUACAUAUUGUAAUUUGGAAGUGGUGUGUGAUACUUCUUCUAGUCUUUCAAAUGAGAUUGGCUUUCCUUUGUUUCAUAAAUAGAUAUCAUAUUCCCAUCAA